UACGUAGGGGGCAAGCGUUGUCCGGAAUUAUUGGGCGUAAAGAGCUCGUAGGCGGCCUGUUGCGUCCGCUGUGAAAGCCCGGGGCUUAACCCCGGGUCGGCAGUGGAUACGGGCAGGCUAGAGUUCGGUAGGGGAGUCUGGAAUUCCUGGUGUAGCGGUGAAAUGCGCAGAUAUCAGGAGGAACACCAACAGCGAAGGCAGCACUCUGGGCCGGUACUGACGCUGAGGAGCGAAAGCAUGGGGAGCGAACAGG
rnacentral:rRNA from 1 species